rnacentral:rRNA from 1 species
AACGAACGCUGGCGGCAUGCUUAACACAUGCAAGUCGAACGGAAAGGCUCUCUUCGGAGAGUACUCGAGUGGCGCACGGGUGAGUAACGCGUGGAUAAUGUGCCUUUUGGUGGGGAAUAACUUGGGGAAACUCGGGCUAAUACCGCAUAAGUUCAUCGGAGAUUCGUCGAUGAUGAAGAAAGCCUUCGGGCGCCGAAAGAUCGGUCCGCGUCCCAUCAGCUUGUUGGUAAGGUAACGGCUUACCAAGGCUACGACGGGUAGCUGGUCUGAGAGGAUGAUCAGCCACACUGGGACUGAGACACGGCCCAG